CUCGCUCGUCCAGGGCAGAAUGAAUGGGAUACACGUCUGUCUGUCCGUCCGUCCGUCUCGGGGCGUUUCGUGCGCGAUUUCUGGGCAUCGAGCGCGGCGGACGCGGCUCGGUGUGACGCCCGUGUAUACGCGUUUGCUUCAAAUUUCUCUUCUUUCUUUUCUGUUUCUCGGCUUUCUGUCGUGUUGGGACUUGGAGCGGAAAUCUUUGUGGCCUGGCUCUGGCCGGGUCUCGGUGCUCUCGGCCCGUGGUUUUGACUUUUCAGUUGCGUGACGGACAUCGUAGUGCUCCUGGGUGCUCAUGUUUUCCGCUUUCCGUCCUUCCUUUUCGUUGUUGGUAUGCAAUCUUUUCUUUUCUUUUUUCACUCUUUCAGCGAUGGUUAACGCCCCGUGGGUUUUUAAUGGGAUGAUCUCUGCUGAUUGAGCCAUUAACGAAGAUAGGCCUUUGUGUGUACAAAGGGGGAUUAGCCUUUUGCGAGUAGAGGUGUCGUGUCUGUUCAUCUGUGCUGUCUUCGUUAUCUUACCAAAAAAUGGGGUGUACCCAAAAGGUAACACCCUUUCAUUGAUUCGGAAAUGUACAAUUUGAAGGAGAAAAAACGUUCUGUGAUUAUUGUCAAUUUUAGUGCAUUCAGGGUUAUGGCAUAUUUGAGCAUUUGAGCAACUUCUGAGUAGGAAAAAAUAAAUAAAGGGUUCAGACCAAUGUUAAUAGCCCUACAAAUUUACCAUGUCAAAUUAAUCUGAAUAUCCAACUGCAUAUGCACUACGGAGUAAAUAAGACAAGCAGUUACGUGAUGAUUCAGACAGGUUGAUGAAUUCAAGGACCUCUUCGUCUGCAUGCUACUCUAGUAGUCUAGUUACUCCACUUCACUGUCUAUACUGUACUAGCUAUCUCUUCUUCUAUGUAGGCCAAACCUCCUGAUACCACCCACACUAUGUACACCUAUCGUAUUCACCAACCACGUGUACACUGUUUUUUCUUAAUCCUCUGCCCAUCUGAUUAGUACUCCGCAGAUGGGUGGUUGGUUCCAGGUUCCUCUCUCUCUCUCUCGCUUCCUUUCAGUCUAACGCGAAUCCACUGUUUCAGCGUUGCCGCCGGCAUGGCUGCUGCACCUUACCGGUCCGACCGCCUGCUGCCCCGCCCCCGCUGGCCGCUGUUUCCUCACCCCGCCCCUGCGUGCCUCGGAGCGCUCCGCCGCUGCUGUACCGCUGUUUUGCUUCCUCGCGGACGCCGGACAGAAGAAGCAGGAGCGCUUUGGGAGGCCGAAUCCCUCAAGGAUGGCGGCGCCCUGCGGUUUCUCUUCGAAUUGAGAGGUGCAUGUACUUUGAUUGAUCCAUGAGGUACUUUGAUUAAUGAGAUGAUUGAUGAGGUACUUAGAAAGGUACUGUGAUUGACGAGGUACCGUGAUUUUGAGUACCAUCAUCUACCAUGGGUACAUGACGAGGUGCUAGUUUUUAAUAAAUGUUUAUGUUGUAAUUUUGUCUUGGUACAUGAUGUACAUAAUUUGAUCUGUCCAGGUACCUAAAAACUGUUAAGGUACAUGUGAUGUACCACAUGAUGUAUUUGUAUCAUAAUCUCAUGUACACGAAAUACUUAAAAACUGAUAAGGUACAUGUCACGCACAAUAAUUUGUACUUAAAAUCUGUGAAGGUACAAUACACAUACC
rnacentral:lncRNA from 1 species